rnacentral:rRNA from 1 species
UACGUAGGUGGCAAGCGUUGUCCGGAUUUACCGGGCGUAAAGAGCGCGCAGGCGGUCGUUCAAGUCGCGUGUGAAAGCCCCCGGCUCAACUGGGGAGGGUCACGCGAUACUGAUCGACUCGAAGGCAGGAGAGGGUAGUGGAAUUCCCGGUGUAGUGGUGAAAUGCGUAGAUAUCAGGAGGAACACCAAUUGCGAAGGCAGCUCGCUGGGACGUAACUGACGCUGAGACGCGAAAGCGUGGGGAGCAAACAGG